rnacentral:rRNA from 1 species
GACGAACGCUGGCGGCGUGCUUAACACAUGCAAGUCGAACGGUGAACCUCUUCGGAGGGGAUCAGUGGCGAACGGGUGAGUAACACGUGGGCAACCUGCCCCCGGCUCUGGGAUAACUCCAAGAAAUUGGGGCUAAUACCGGAUGUUCACCGCUUCCCGCAUGGGUGGUGGUGGAAAGGGUUUCCGGCUGGGGAUGGGCCCGCGGCCUAUCAGCUUGUUGGUGGGGUAGUGGCCUACCAAGGCGACGACGGGUAGCCGGCCUGAGAGGGUGACCGGCCACACUGGGACUGAGACACGGCCCAGACUCCUACGGAAGGUAGCAGUGGGGAAUAUUGCGCAAUGGGCGGAAGCCUGACGCAGCGACGCCGCGUGGGGGAUGACGGCCUUCGGGUUGUAAACCUCUUUCAGCAGGGACGAAGCGCAAGUGACGGUACCUGCAGAAGAAGCACCGGCCAACUACGU